CACAAGGGAAGUGCAAAAACAGACAAAAGUGAUCUGUGGUGCUGAGGAGGCCAACAAAAUUUUUCUGGACUUUCAUGCCGGUGCUACCGGUGCACACUGAUGCCAAACAAAGACAAAGAGACAAUAUCAAAGCGAUUCUACUGGCCAGGCAUGUUAGUAGACAUCAACAACUGAGUUUCUGAGCCAUUUGAGUUGUUGGGAAUGGACCUUAUUGGCAAAUUAACGACAUCAAAUACUGGAAAUCAGUACAUAUGCGUAAUGGUUGCUUGUUGUACUAAGUGGCCAGAGGCUUAUGCACUGAAGUCAAAGUCUGCCAAGGAGGCUACUGGAUGUAUACUUGAAUUUGUAUAUCAGUUUGGAGCCCCCAAAAGGAUCCUUACUGACCAGGGAAGACAAUUUGUUAAUUCCGCACACGGAAGAUUUUGCAUGAAUGCCGACACCUGUAAAUAGAGUCGAUGUAGUAGGGAGUUUCUCUUCUUCCCACUCCUUUUUGAGUCACACCAAUAUAUAUGUAUGCACAUGUUAUUAUGAGUAUUUCCUUUGUUUUGUUUUCUCAACCCAUUGCGGGUAUUAUAGAUAUAUAAUAUUAUACAAUAUAUUUUGACAUCCACACCCAAAUAUAGUAAAGCUGUCGCUUAGAAAUGUGAGAAAUACUUUGGCUAAAUUCUUAUAUUCAAUUACGUUUGACCCACAAUUAUCUUUCCACCAUAUUAAUGAUGUAUAUUUAAGUGUAUGACAUAGGUUUGCUUAAAACAAAAACUUUAAGCAUUGAUGGAUUUAUUAGUUGCUAUCAGCAACAGUUUUAACCUUGUUUUCUACUUGUUUUUAUUUUUGUUUCACAUGUCCUCUCAACAGUAGGGGCCUUCGAAAUGUUCUGCUGGGACAUUUGUCAAAUUGGACCAAACAAGGUGCUGGAAAGUAAGAGUAUUAACGCCUACAUGUCGAUCCUGAUGCGUGAUCACAA